rnacentral:lncRNA from 1 species
UGAGCCGGAGCCGGAGUUGGCAGGCGUGGAGUGUAGGCCGGACGGCGGCGCCGGGCGGAGGCGGUGAGGCAGCUACCUUGGUCAGUGACCACCUUGCAGUAUGUUGAGUCAAGUCUGCCGCUCUGGGUUCCAGUCCUUCACCCAGCAUCUCCUGCCCUGGGUCCAAUCCACCACACUCUCCAGAUCUGGUCACAUCCAGCCUUCGGCCAUCAGACAUGUUCGUUCUUGGAGCAACAUUCCCUUUAUCACUGUUCCCCUCAGUCGUACACAUGGCAAGUCUUUUGCCCACCGCAGUGAGCUGAAGCAUGCCAAGAGAAUCGUGGUGAAACUCGGAAGUGCCGUGGUGACCCGAGGGGACGAAUGUGGCCUGGCACUGGGGCGCCUGGCAUCUAUUGUUGAGCAGGUGUCAGUGCUGCAGAAUCAAGGACGAGAGAUGAUGCUGGUGACCAGUGGAGCCGUAGCCUUUGGCAAGCAACGCUUACGCCAUGAGAUCCUGCUGUCUCAGAGUGUGCGGCAGGCCCUACACUCAGGGCAGAACCAGCUGAAGGAGAUGGCAAUUCCAGUCUUAGAAGCCCGAGCCUGUGCAGCUGCUGGACAGAGUGGGCUGAUGGCCUUAUAUGAAGCCAUGUUUACCCAGUAUAGCAUCUGUGCUGCGCAGAUUUUGGUGACCAAUUUGGAUUUCCACGAUGAGCAGAAGCGCCGGAACCUCAAUGGGACACUUCAUGAGCUCCUCCGAAUGAACAUUGUCCCCAUCGUCAACACAAAUGAUGCUGUCGUCCCCCCAGCAGAGCCCAAUAGUGAUCUCCAGGGGGUAAAUGUUAUUAGUGUUAAGGAUAAUGAUAGCCUGGCUGCCCGUCUAGCCGUGGAAAUGAAAACUGACCUUUUGAUUGUUCUUUCAGAUGUCGAAGGCCUCUUUGACAGCCCCCCAGGGUCAGAUGAUGCAAAGCUCAUUGAUAUAUUUUAUCCUGGAGAUCAGCAGUCUGUAACAUUUGGAACCAAGUCCAGAGUGGGAAUGGGUGGCAUGGAAGCCAAGGUGAAAGCAGCCCUCUGGGCUUUGCAAGGUGGCACGUCUGUGGUCAUUGCCAAUGGGACCCACCCAAAGGUGUCUGGGCACGUCAUCACAGACAUCGUGGAGGGAAAGAAGGUUGGCACCUUCUUUUCUGAAGUAAAGCCUGCAGGCCCUACCGUGGAACAGCAAGGGGAAAUGGCUCGAUCAGGAGGAAGGAUGUUGGCCACUUUGGAACCUGAGCAGAGAGCAGAGAUUAUCUAUCAUCUGGCUGAUUUGUUGACGGACCAGCGAGAUGAGAUCCUGUUAGCCAACAAAAAGGACAUGGAGGAGGCAGAGGGAAGACUUGCAGCUCCUCUGCUGAAACGUUUGAGCCUAUCCACGUCUAAACUGAACAGCCUGGCCAUCGGUCUGCGGCAGAUUGCAGCCUCCUCACAGGACAGCGUGGGGCGGGUUUUGCGCCGGACCCGAAUUGCCAAAAACUUGGAACUAGAACAAGUGACUGUCCCAAUUGGAGUGUUACUGGUCAUCUUUGAGUCUCGCCCUGACUGCCUACCUCAGGUGGCAGCCUUGGCUAUUGCAAGUGGUAAUGGCUUGUUACUCAAAGGAGGGAAGGAGGCUUCACACAGCAACCGGAUUCUUCAUCUCCUGACACAGGAGGCCCUCUCCAUCCAUGGAGUCAAGGAGGCUGUACAGCUGGUGAAUACCAGAGAAGAAGUGGAAGACCUUUGCCGCCUAGACAAAAUGAUAGAUCUCAUCAUCCCACGUGGCUCUUCCCAGCUGGUCAGAGACAUCCAGAAAGCUGCUAAGGGCAUUCCAGUGAUGGGGCACAGUGAAGGGAUCUGCCACAUGUAUGUGGAUUCAGAGGCUAGUGUCGACAAGGCCACCAGACUAGUCAGAGACUCUAAAUGUGAAUAUCCAGCCGCCUGUAAUGCUUUGGAGACCCUCUUAAUCCACCGAGAUCUGCUGAGAACACCAUUGUUUGACCAGAUCAUUGACAUGCUGAGAGUGGAACAGGUGAAGAUUCAUGCAGGCCCAAAGUUCGCCUCCUAUCUGACCUUCAGCCCCUCUGAAGUGAAGUCUCUCCGAACUGAGUACGGGGACCUGGAACUGUGCAUAGAAGUGGUGGACAGCGUGCAGGAGGCCAUCGACCACAUCCACAAGUACGGCAGCUCCCACACAGAUGUCAUCGUCACAGAGAACGAAAAGACAGCAGAGUUCUUCCUCCAGCAUGUGGAUAGCGCCUGUGUGUUCUGGAAUGCCAGCACUCGCUUCUCUGAUGGCUACCGCUUUGGACUGGGAGCUGAAGUGGGAAUCAGUACAUCCCGAAUCCACGCCCGGGGACCAGUGGGACUUGAAGGAUUGCUUACUACCAAGUGGCUGCUGCGAGGGGAGGACCACGUGGUCUCAGACUUCUCAGAGCACGGAAGCUUAAAGUAUCUUCACGAGAACCUCCCUGUUCCCCAGAGAAACACCAACUGAAAGCAUUCAGAGGAGAGCCGGACAUGUUUUGAGGGGUCUUCCCAGUUAAAAUGGUCUUCUGCACCUCAGGGGAUGGACCAGGCCUUCUUGUCUCCUGCUUCCUGGAAGGGUCUCCUGUUGGAACGUGCACCUUGAUGCUUCUGGGCUCUGUGGCAACAUCAGCCUGGGCCAAAGACUCCGUUCCAGCUUACCCUUUUCUUUCUUUCUUCCUUCUUUCCUUCCUUUCUCUCUCUUUUUCUUCCUCUCUCUCUUUCUUUCUAAGUUAGAUAACAGUCGCUGUAGUUAGGGACUUUGCUUAAUUGCUACGGAUGGGGACUUUGCCUCACAUAGUGUAAUUCCCUUCAGUGAUAGAAACAGAAAGGUGCCAUUUCCCCACAUAAAAGGCAGUGGAAAAUCAUGGUUGCUUUUUACCUUUUAUCGCCUCAAUGAGGUAAAGUCUCCCUUGGCAUUUGGUAGUUACAAGAGCCAGUCACACCUAAUAAGUCUUUCCAUGUUUCAUUUCUUUCAUACUCCUAGUCAUCUUCAAAAAGGAAAGAUUUGGAACUUAGAAGAGAGACAGCUCUUCUUUUUAGCAUUCUCAUCAUAAGCAAUCACAAAAAGGACUAAAUCAUUUGCACUGGGAAGAUUGACAUUUUGUAUUUAUUGGAGUAAAUAUAAGUAAACUCUCUGGAUCCAGGGGCUUGCCACUACCUGGACACAGUUGGAACCCAGAGCUGCAGAUAGGAGGUACAAGUUUCAGGAUGAAGUACCUGCAGCCAUUGUGCUUGAAAUUUUUUUACGAAUUAUUUUGUCAUCCUUUCCUUUCCCAAAAAAAAACAAAAAUUAGAGGAUUAUUUUAAUACUUUGGAUUCUUCCCUCCUUUUUGAGAAAUAAAGUUCUUAUGAAAAGCCUCUGUGCUCUGGUUCAAGUUUUCUCCCUCACUGUGGCCCUCACCCUGCUCUUACACAGUCUCUUCUCUGGAAAUUGACUGGGGAGAGAGGCCUCUGGAGAGAGGCCACCUGGAGAGAGGCCAGGUGUCAGUGGAAGUAGCACAGGCAGACCCCCAGGGGAGGAACUCAGACUGAGAGGAAAGGAAAGCAUGAGAUGAAGCCCCUAGACCUCAAGGACUGAAAACACGGUGAUGGUCUGAAGGUGGUGGAUGUGAAUGACACGAGCGUGCUCUCCAUGUGCCAGAUCCACGCGUUGUCCACUUGGAAGGCUGUAGCCCCUCCUGGCAUCCGUAGUUCACUGUGGGUAAUCCUGCCAGCCCCAUUGCCUCAGGAUCGCCUGCUUCAUUGACAGCUCUAAGCCCUCCAUCCGUCCUCCAUCGAGCUCCUGUUUUUAAGGUUCUUGGUGCCUGACAGUCUGCAAUUGGAAGAUUUCUUGUCUCAUGGGGGCCCUCCCAGAGAAAUGAGCACUUGCUUACAUGUUUCUUCUUAUCCUCUUGAGGAUGUUUUAUGAACACAAGAAUUAUGGUGUCGUGUGCAGCAUGUUCCCAGGCUGGCUCCAGACUCUACCUCUCAUCCAGACCCGUACAUGGUCGGCCAAGUUACCCUGCCUGCUCUGCCCUCUGAGUGGGGAGUUCUGGCAUAGCUUGCCUGAAAAGGCAAUAAGCAGAUUUCUGCCUGAAACUACAGCAAAGACCAUGAUCAGCUCCCAAACAGACAACAAGUGCCCCUGGGAUUGAAAAUAGAAAGUGACCCAAGAAGGCCAAACCCUUGGGGAAGACUCCACUGAGGAGGCAGGCCUGGAGCUGGGCCCUGGGAAGGACAAGCCGCAGGAUAAGGAGAGGGCAGAGGAUUCUGGCAGGGGGUUGGGGAAACAAAACCCCACAGUGGGGUGAAACCCAAGUUUGGGGAGCAGUGAAUAUGCCAGUUCUGGGCCAAAGUUCGAGUGGGUAAACAGGAAGGUGAUAACAUGGCAGGCAGCUGGAAGGUGUAACCUCUGUGGGAGCCACCCUUCUUUGGGCAUGAGAUGGGGGUGAGUUUAGAGCAGAAGAUACAGGUGAAACUCAGUUACCCAAUAAGUCCACUCCCCCUGGAACGGCUUCCUCAGCCCUAGCCCAUUUCUUUCGUGUUCUUUUAUAUUUUGUAUUUUUAGGGCUGAACCUGUGGUAUAUGGAGGUUCCCAGGCUAGGGGUCGAAUCGGAGCUAUAGCUCCCCGGCCUUGGCUACAGCCACAGCACCACAGCACCACAGCAACUCAUGAUCUGAGCUGCAUCUGAGACCUACACCACAGCUCACAGCAAUGCUGGAUACCUAACCUGUUGAGCGAGGCCAGGGAUCAAACCUGUGUCCUCAUGGAUGCUAGUUGGGUUUGUUAACCUCUGAGCCAGGACGGGAACUCCAGCCUUAGUCCAUUUCUGUAGUGUCGUGGACCAUCUGAUUCUCCCUUUUUCCACCAAAAUAGAUCUCCAAAAGGGCCAGGAGGCAGCCAUAGCCUCACAGGGAUUCCCCCCAACCCAGGCAGCCUUCCAGUACUAAAGGAAUGGGGGCUUUUUAUUCAGAAAUCUGUCCUGUGGUCCUGCCCUACUACUUCCCUUUUCUGGCCACUAGCUCCUGGCAAAGAAGUUUGCUGAACCAACCAAUCCUGAAGCUCACAGCGAGGGAGAAAAAAGCCCUCAGCAAAUUUUUUUUAGGCCUUCAGCAAAUGUUUUUAUUCAAAUGUUUUACUUGGGUUUAGGUUUUUCUAUUGCUUAGAAAUAAUAAUCAUAAUACUAAAGGUAAAUAGUGAUAAAAAUUGUCUGGAUAAUACCGGAUAUUCAUACAUUAUAGGGGCAUUUACAAAAUUAUUCAUAUGGCCCUAAGAUUCCCCUAACGCUAGGGGGCAGUCAGGCCCCACAGAACUAAGGGGGUCUGGCCUCCAAGUCCUAGUGGACUGCCCUCCCUCCGCCAGCAUCCUCAGGCUGUCCACCUGGAGGUGAAGUGCUGGCACAGUAAAGUACCAGAGAACUUGUUUACCUAGAGAAUAAGAGUAUAGCCUUUUUUUGGAUAAGAGAGGGAACAGAAUUUGGACCUUGGUUCCACCACCUGCUGGCUGUUUGAUCUGGGGAAGAUAUCUUAACUUCUCAGAACUUUGAUAAUACUUAUCCAUAAAUGGGUUUUUUGAGAUUACAUGUAAAACACUCAGCAUAGGAGUUCCCAUCGUAGCUCAGCGGAAACAAAUCUGACUAGCAUCCAUGAGGACGCAGGUUCAAUGCACACCUCUGUUUGGAUCCCUAGCCUGGGAAUCUCAGUAUGCCAUGGGUGCGGCCCUAAAAAGACAAAAACAAACGAAAACCACUCAGUAUAAUAGCCUAUGAUAAACCUUCAUUAGCUAUUAGCUGUAUUAUUUGUUUUGUUCUAAAGGAUAGGUUUCACUUAGUUCUGGACAUUGCUCUCUUAAUUAAAGUACAAAUGUCUCUUCCUAGGAAAUGAGGUAGGAACACUCAGAAAAUAAUCUGCUAGGUAUGAGGCACCAUAGUAGGAGCCUUACAGGUGAUGCCACAACAAUCUGAAUGAAGUACUUGUUAUCCCAAUUUUACAGGUACAGAAAAAGGAUCAGAGAGGUUGAGUAAAUUCCGAAGUCGCACAGUUAGGAAGUGGCAGAAUCUAGAUCAGAACCAGAUAGCUGGGCUUCAAAGCUCUUCACCACCACGCAGGCUGUAGCAGCGGUGUUGUCCCAGAAGUUCUUGUACCUUAACCCAAGGCAAGUUGUAAGGCAGAAGAAGGAGAUAUAGCUAUAGCUACUAACUGGACCCCUUUUCAAGUAAUCAGAUCCUACGUCUGCUCCAGUUUUGCAAGAGGAGAUGCUUGUCUGGAAACUCUCCUCAACACCUGCCCCUGGAGGGAGCCAACUGCACCUGAAUUAUUUAGAGAGUCCCUAGACACUUGAUAUAAUGAGCAGGUGUGGAUGCUUCUCCAACUUUCCCCCAAACAUGCCUUUACUGAUCCUCCUCUCCUCCCCCUAGUUGCCUACGAGGAAAAGAGAGCCUUCUCAUAUUGUAUGUAUGUCUACCUUGUUAUCCAUGAGAAGCAGAUCGUUUUCCUUGCAAAUCUUAAAAUCAUAUUGGUUUCAGUUGAAAUUGAUGGUGUAUUGGGGUUAAUCGAUGCAAACUAUUGCAUUUGGAAUGAAUAAGCAAUGAGAUCCUGCUGUACAGCACAGGGAACUAUAUCUAGUCACUUGUGAUGGAACACGAUGGAGGAUAAUAUGAGAAAAAGAAUAUAUAUAUAUGUGUAUGACUGGGUCACAUUGCUGUACAGUAGAAAUUGACAGAACACUGUAAAUCAACUAUAAUGGGAAAAAUAAAAAUCUUAAAAAAAAAUUGAAGGUAUAA